GGGGGCAUAGCUCAGUUGGGAGAGCAGCAGACUGAAGCCUUAAAGCUUGAUCAGUUAUAGUUGAUUACAUUAUUCUGAAGGUCCCGCGUUCAAUCCGCGGUGCCCCCA